rnacentral:rRNA from 1 species
GGCGAACGGGUGAGUAACACGUGAGCAAUCUGCCCCUGACUCUGGGAUAAGCGCUGGAAACGGCGUCUAAUACUGGAUACGAACCGUGGAGGCAUCUUCAACGGUUGGAAAGAUUUUUUGGUCAGGGAUGAGCUCGCGGCCUAUCAGCUUGUUGGUGAGGUAAUGGCUCACCAAGGCGUCGACGGGUAGCCGGCCUGAGAGGGUGACCGGCCACACUGGGACUGAGACACGGCCCAGACUCCUACGGGAGGCAGCAGUGGGGAAUAUUGCACAAUGGGCGAAAGCCUGAUGCAGCAACGCCGCGUGAGGGAUGACGGCCUUCGGGUUGUAAACCUCUUUUAGCAGGGAAGAAGCGAAAGUGACGGUACCUGCAGAAAAAGCGCCGGCUAACUACGUGCCAGCAGCCGCGGUAAUACGUAGGGCGCAAGCGUUAUCCGGAAUUAUUGGGCGUAAAGAGCUCGUAGGCGGUUUGUCGCGUCUGCUGUGAAAUCCCGAGGCUCAACUUCGGGUCUGCAGUGGGUACGGGCAGACUAGAGUGCGGUAGGGGAGAUUGGAAUUCCUGGUGUAGCGGUGGAAUGCGCAGAUAUCAGGAGGAACACCGAUGGCGAAGGCAGAUCUCUGGGCCGUAACUGACGCUGAGGAGCGAAAGGGUGGGGAGCAAACAGGCUUAGAUACCCUGGUAGUCCACCCCGUAAACGUUGGGAACUAGUUGUGGGGUCCAUUCCACGGAUUCCGUGACGCAGCUAACGCAUUAAGUUCCCCGCCUGGGGAGUACGGCCGCAAGGCUAAAACUCAAAGGAAUUGACGGGGACCCGCACAAGCGGCGGAGCAUGCGGAUUAAUUCGAUGCAACGCGAAGAACCUUACCAAGGCUUGACAUAUACGAGAACGCUGCAGAAAUGUAGAACUCUUUGGACACUCGUAAACAGGUGGUGCAUGGUUGUCGUCAGCUCGUGUCGUGAGAUGUUGGGUUAAGUCCCGCAACGAGCGCAACCCUCGUUCUAUGUUGCCAGCACGUAAUGGUGGGAACUCAUGGGAUACUGCCGGGGUCAACUCGGAGGAAGGUGGGGAUGACGUCAAAUCAUCAUGCCCCUUAUGUCUUGGGCUUCACGCAUGCUACAAUGGCCGGUACAAAGGGCUGCAAUACCGUGAGGUGGAGCGAAUCCCAAAAAGCCGGUCCCAGUUCGGAUUGAGGUCUGCAACUCGACCUCAUGAAGUCGGAGUCGCUAGUAAUCGCAGAUCAGCAACGCUGCGGUGAAUACGUUCCC